rnacentral:rRNA from 1 species
UACGUAGGGGGCUAGCGUUGUCCGGAAUCAUUGGGCGUAAAGAGCGUGUAGGCGGCCCGGUAAGUCCGCUGUGAAAGUCGGGGGCUCAACCCUCGGAUGCCGGUGGAUACUGUCGGGCUCGAGUACGGAAGAGGCGAGUGGAAUUCCUGGUGUAGCGGUGAAAUGCGCAGAUAUCAGGAGGAACACCAGUGGCGAAGGCGAGUCCCUGGACAACACCUGACACUGAGGCACGAAAGCCGGGGGAGCAAACAGG